GUGAGCAGUGUGGAUGAGUAGUGUGGGUGAGCAGUGUACUUCAGUGUGGGUGAGUGGUGUGGGUGAGCAGUGUGGGUGAGUGGUGGGUGUGGGUGAGCAGGGUGGGUGAGCAGUGUGGGUGAGCGGUGUGAGUGAGCGGCGUGGGUGAGCGGUGUGGGUGAGCAGUGUGAGUGAGCAGUGUGGGUGAGCAGUGUGGGUGAGCGGUGUGAGUGAGCAGUGUGGGUGUGGGUGAGCAGUGUGGGUGAGCAGUGUGAGUGAGCAGUGUGGGUGAGCAGUGUAGGUAAGCAGUGUAGGUAAGCAGUGUGGGUGAGUGGUGUGGGUGAGCGGUGUGGGUGAGCAGUGUGGGUGAGCAGUGUGGGUGAGCAUGUGGAGUGAGCAGUGUGGGUGAGCAGUGUGGAUGAGCAGUGUGGGUGAGUAGUGUGGGUGAGCAGUGUACUUCAGUGUGGGUGAGUGGUGUGGGUGAGCAGUGUACUUCAGUGUGGGUGAGUGGUGUGGGUGAGCAGUGUGGGUGAGUGGUGUACUUCAGUGUGGGUGAGUGGUGUGGGUGAGCAGUGUGGGUGAGUGGUGU
ensembl:lncRNA